rnacentral:rRNA from 1 species
GUAGGUGGCAAGCGUUGUCCGGAAUUGUUGGGCGUAAAGCGCGCGCAGGCGGUUCUUUAAGUCUGAUGUGAAAGCCCACGGCUCAACCGUGGAGGGUCAUUGGAAACUGGAGAACUUGAGUACAGAAGAGGAAAGCGGAAUUCCACGUGUAGCGGUGAAAUGCGUAGAGAUGUGGAGGAACACCAGUGGCGAAGGCGGCUUUCUGGUCUGUAACUGACGCUGAGGCGCGAAAGCGUGGGGAGCAAACAGGAUUAGAUACCCUGGUAGUCCACGCCGUAAACGAUGAGUGCUAAGUGUUAGGGGGGUUUCCGCCCCCCUUAGUGCUGCAGCUAACGCAUUAAGCACUCCGCCUGGGAGUACGGCCGCAAGGUUG